rnacentral:rRNA from 1 species
UAGGGAAUCUUCCGCAAUGGGCGAAAGCCUGCCGGAGCAACGCCGCGUGAGUGAUGAAGGUCUUCGGAUCGUAAAACUCUGUUAUUAGGGAAGAACAAAUGUGUAAGUAACUAUGCACGUCUUGACGGUACCUAAUCAGAAAGCCACGGCUAACUACGUGCCAGCAGCCGCGGUAAUACGUAGGUGGCAAGCGUUAUCCGGAAUUAUUGGGCGUAAAGCGCGCGUAGGCGGUUUUUUAAGUCUGAUGUGAAAGCCCACGGGUCAACCGUGGGGGGUCAUUGGAAACUGGAAAACUUGAGUGCAGAAGAGGAAAGUGGAAUUCCAUGUGUAGCGGUGAAAUGCGGAGAGAUAUGGAGGAACACCAGUGGCGAAGGCGACUUUCUGGUCGGUAACUGACGCUGAUGUGCGAAAGCGUGGGGAUCAAACAGG